CUCGAGGGCCAGCUGUGGGAAUCACGGGCUCUUCCGGCGUCUGGAAGGGACAGGCUGGUUAUGCAAUAAGCCCUGGAUGCCGGCCUCGGUGACGGCCAGGUCAGUCUCCCUCUCUGGAAGACGAGGUGGUCCCCGGGGAGAAGACACGAGUUACCUGUUGAGGCCGAGGUACCCAAGGACACCCAGGAGGAGGACGCUCACGAAGCUCCCCAGAGACACGAAGGGGAUGGGCAGGUGUGAAAACCAAGAACCAGAGAGGGACAGCGUUGUUCCCAGGGUCACACAGCAAGAAGGAGCCCGCGUACCUGACCCCUGGCUGCCCUCCUCUUGGCAGCGCACGACGUACCCCUCCAGGACACCGGGGCAGGUGCUCAGCAGCGAGGGCGACCAGUCUAUGGACACGGAGUCCCUGCUGCGGUUCCUCACCGACACGCGCUGCGGGAUCCCGGCCACCAAGGCUGUGACCAGCGCAUCAUCACCGUCAGUGCCGGGGCCGAGCACCGGAAGCCCAGCCUGGCACAUGGGGGACACUGGCCUCUGAGGCUCCCGCACCUCGGCCCUCGGUGUGCUUGGCCUUGGUCACCUGUGAGCGGCUGGCACCCGCCGGGCUUCUGCCUGACGAGCGGUGGGACAGGUUCACCUGCCCCCUGAAGCCCGAAGCCGCUGCAGAGCCCCGGGAGAUGAGCCUGCAGGUGGGUCACUCACCGCUGCCCCCGAAGUAGUGGGUGGACAGGACCGUGGACCAGGACGUGGGGUUCUUCGGGUGCGCAGAGGCGAAGAUGCCCAGGUGGUAGCAACCCUCCGGCAGCAGCGCCCCGGAUCCUCGGCCCCAGGUGUGAGCCACUGGGAGGAGGGAGGGCCCCCGGGGCCACCGCGUCACUACCUCUGCCCACUCGUGCUUCAGAGCCCCCUGUGCCAACGUCCCCUCCUCCCAGAUCCCUCCCCAACUUGCCCCAUCCACUCCCACCUGGCCCCUCCCGCACUGUGGGGUGGUUUUGUCCCACUGUCAGGCUGGGGACACCUCCACAACCAGUCGGCUGCACGCCUGGCAUCCCAGCUACUGGGAGGCUGAGGCAGGAGGAUCGAACGUGGGAGGCCAGCCUCAGCAACUUAGCGAGGCUCUAAGCAACUCAGUGAGACGCUGUCUCCAAAUUCAAACUAGAAAGGGCUGGGGCUGUGGCUCAGGGGUUAAGUGCUCCUGGGGUUAAUCCCUGGCACCAAAAGAGGGGGAGCCGGGGGUGUGGGUCAUGGUCCAGCGAGUGCCUGGCAGACUCAAGACCCUGGGUUCCUCCCCAGGAUCUCAAAAAAGAAGGCCAGGUGGAGGCUGUGGCUUCCUCGUGCUCCAGCAAGACCCAGGCAGGAAGCGGGCGAGCAAGAGGCGCCCGGGCCACAGAGCGCCCUCCCCUCCCCGAGGCCUCAUUAGUCUGUCACCAGCACCUGCUAACUGCCACCUUCCCUGGUGACGGCAAAUAUUGAACAGGCACCCAGGAUGUGAGAGAGGCUCCCUGCCGGGUGCAGCCUGCCCGGGCGCCGGGGCCAGCAGAGGAGGAGGGCUGAGGCCAUGUUCCGGCCCAAGCUGUGUGACCUGAGUCCACAGCGGUGCCUCUCUGGGCCCUGGACGCCCCUGUGUCCAGUCUCAGGAGGCGUCCCAGAGGCCUGGCAGGGACGCAGCCAUUCAUGUACCUCGUCCAGCGGGGGCCGGGUCCCGGGGGGUGUGCAGGCUGCAGAGGGCAGGGCCGCCCCCUCCAUCCAGCCGCUGCCACUCAAUGCAGUAGGUGGUGCCCGGGUCCCCCGCGGGCCAGCUCAGGGUGGUCCCCUCGGCGUCGACGCUGAUGUUCAGGAGCCCUGGGUCUGGAAGGGGAUGGCAGGGUCACCCAGGGCAGCCGCCUUUGCCGGGCCUGUGCAGUCCCCAGGCCACCUUCCUGCCCAGGGAUGUCUGCGCCUAGCCCUGUCCCCUCAGUGGGCAGCUGGGGGCUGGACGUGGGCAGAGGGGAGUGUUUGAAGGGCUUCCCUGCCCCGGACGGGGCCCCCCUGCCGCCCUGUCUCCCUCCCCGGCUUUGAGGGCGUCCCCUGCAGCAGACGCCCAGCCUGGCUAGACCCGCUGGGGACAAAGGCCAAGUUCAGAGGCAGCAGGACGCACCCCCGACCCCUGGCUCCAUCUCUCCCACUUCCUAAAACAAGGGCCUCUGCUUCUAAUUUGGCGGAAGACAAGCAGCGUUUAUCGAACACCAACUGUGUGCGCCAGCUCCCUGGGAGAUGGGACGAUGAUGGCCCUAUUUGACGGAUGCCAAAACUGAGGCCCAGACGGUGUGGAUCAACCCGAGUCUACCAGCAGGGCUGCGACCCAGAUCAGGGUCUCGCUAAGUUGCUGAGGCUGGCCUCGAACUUGUGAUCCUCCUGCCUCAGCCUCCCGAGACACUGGGAUGACCAGCGGCACCGCCAGGCCCAGCUUGAUCAUGGGUUUUGGCGCCUGUUACGCUCCCUGGCCUCCCGGCCUCCCGGCCUCCCUGGCCUCCCGGCCUCCCUGGCCUCCUGGCCUCCUGGCCUCCUGCUGGUGGAGUGGGGCUCAGAAGAGCUGCUCAGCUCCAGGUCCUCUGGCGGCCGCCCCACCCCGCCCCACGGAGAGGCACCUGUGCU